GAUGGCGAGCGGGAAAAAUAGUGUCGAAACUUUUGAAUCUCUCUCUCUCUCUCUUCUCAACGCUCCCUAAUCUCCAACGGCUGGAGCAAACUCUCCGGUGACUGUGCUGUUUUUCUCUCGUUUUCUGGAGACUCUUUCAGAACCUAGCCCCAUCUUAGGGUUUUCCAUUUUGUUUUUCAUUUGGUCGAGAGAAGUUCAAGAGCUAGGGUUUCUAAUGAAAUCGGGGCAUCACCAGAAUGGAAGAUCAGAUUCACUCUGCGGAAGACCUGAGCGGUGACAGAAACGCCAGUUUCCACACCGUGCAGCCUCUCCGUGACCUCGAAUCGAAUUGGUCCGUGGAUCUUGCCAAGAACCUUGAAGAGUAUCUGCUCAAGAUUUGCUCCGGUGAGAUUUCCGGAAACGACGGCAGGAACGUGAAUUUUGCUGAAGCUGCUUUGCUGCUUCAAGGUUCAAUUCAGGUGUAUAGUCGGAAGGUGGAAUAUCUUUAUACACUGGUUUUACAUGCUUUGGAGUUCAUUUCACAUACAAGGCAGCAGGAUCAACUAGAGAGAACACCCAUCCAGCAUGAGGAAGGUGGCUCCCAUGUGGUACCUGAUGAAGAAGAUGAUCUGUUUUGGUGUUUAGAUGAUGUACCUGUUGAACCAAGGAAUUGCCUAGAUAGUACCACCAGCAAAGAUGCUUCCUUGAACCAGUUUGUGAAAGCUCCUGCCAAUCUAGUUGUACUUGAAGGUGACGCUACUGGUGAUGGCGGGGAAUUAGAGUCAUAUUUGUUAGCCACCAACGAUCUUUAUCGGGAUUUUAUUCUCUUAGAUCCGUGUGAUGCUGUAGCAGUUGACAGUUUUCUGAAAGGAGAUAAAGAUUCUAAAGGGCUGAAUGGUGACUAUAAGAGCGGCUCUUUAAACUCUAAGAGUUGCAAGAGCUUUCAGUCCCCCUCUAGACGUUCUGGAGGAACUGCUCAUAGAUCUCAUGGAAAGAGCAAUCUUAAUGAACCUUGGGUUGAUUGCAGCUUUGCAGCUAAUGAGGGUAAAAUUGGGCCUGAGCCACCUGCUUUUGACAUUGCCGAAAACAAUGAUGGACAUACAGAUCAUGCAGGAUUAGAUAAUUCAGAUGAUGAUGACGACGAUGAUGACAACGAUGAUCCAUGGAAACCAUUGAAUCCACAUGAAGCUGGGAACUUGAAAGUAAAACCUUUUAAGAAAGUGAAGGCUUUCAGAAGGCGUGGGGUAUGUUCUACUAAGCAUAAUAUUCUUACUACUCAGUUUCCCCUUGCAAAAAUGCAUGGUCCUAUUAGUCCAGAGCUCACAGAAAUAUGGGAGAAACAUCGUGCUUGUGAAAGACAACAAGAACCUCAAACUCCUCCACUUUAUGAGAAGCUGCGAAACUCACUUAUUCAUGGAGAUUCUCAGACUUUUAGUGCUUAUAGUAAUGUUGAGGACAACAAAGAAGAUGGUGGAUAUGAUAGUGGGGUUAAUGAUUUUGGGGAUGAGAUGCCGCAUGAUAUGUACAUGGAUGAUGAUUUACCUCUUCAUCAAGAACAGCAUGAUGAUGGUGCUGCAUGUUUUGAUUCCAUUGACAACUUGGAAGACCUUUGUCGCUCUCAUCUUGAUGCUCUCCUUGCCAACAUUGCUGAAACUGAGAAGCAGACUGAAUUGGCUGCUCGGGUUUCAACAUGGAAACAAAAGAUAGAGCAUGACUUGGAAGAGCAAGACUUGCGACCUCCAUUUGAUAUUCAUGAUUAUGGAGACAGAAUUUUGGAAAAAUUAUCCCACAAAGCUGAAAAUGGAAAUGUCAUGUCCUUUAGUGAAGUUGUCAGUGGCCAAGAAAAGCACGAUGUGGCACGAUCCUUUUCUGCACUCCUUCAACUGGUGAACAAUGAAGAUGUCAAUCUGGAUAGGGGUGGAACUGAUGGUGAGUCCGUGUGUUACACAGAUGCAAAUCCUUUCUAUAUUAAGCUCCUUAACCGUGACAAGAGACGGGAGGAAGUGCAGCUCCGUUCAACCAAGAAGAGAGCUAAAUCUCCAACAAAGAAAGAAUGCACCAAGGGCAAUAGGGACAAAUCAGAAAUAGAGAACCGUCCACCUGUUAGUUCAUCGUCAACAACAGCACUUCAACCCCAACCAAAUUGCAAAUUCUCUGUGAAACUCGGAAAAAUUAAUCCCAUUCGAUGCACUCCUGAACGCAAGAGGAGGCGAAGGUCUCGGAUUGCUGAACCGGUUGACUUACAUUCUUCAAGAUGACACGACCCUCAUGAGGCAAGUUUGGCUAUAAUCUUCUAUUGUUCUGGGCAAUUUUUCAAACCCCUUCCAUUGAAUUGCUUGGAGUGAGAGAAGGUGAGCUGCCAAUGUAGUCCUAGAUUACUAACUAUUUUCAGCUCGUGAUUGGCUUCUGUAGCAUUUUUUUUUUCUCUCAAGCUCCCCUGUCUCUUGGACCAUACAGAAAUUCCUGACUUCUGAGAAAAACCCCCUUCAUACGGCAGCUUAUUGUAAGCUUGGCGGGGGCAUCCCUUUGACUACAUCUACCACCGUUCAAAGAUUUGAACCAAAAUUCAUAAAGAGCUUUAAAAACACAGUGGCUACCACGGCUCUACUCCAAUAUGAGGAUGACUAAGCAAAAGCAUAGGAGAGACGUAAGGCUUUUCCAAAGACAAAAGACGUUGGUGUUCUGACCAGCUCCAUCUCAAGUCAAGCUCCAGUUCAUGCCGUCAUCUCAAGUAUGGAGAGUUAGCUUGCCUGAAGAUAAUAGAUUUCAGAAACUGACAACUGGCAAAAGAUAUAAAGACAAAGAAUGGAAUGAUAAAAGUCGAGAGUAAGUUUUGGAAAGGGGGGAAAAUAUUGAAAGGAUGUCAAUCAUGUCGAAAGGAAUCCGAACUGCAUUCCGCGUAACCGUAAACCCCAUUUACACUGGCUUGCUAUUUUACAAUAAUAGGAAACUGAUUGACGUGCCUAUUCAAUCUGCAAAAGGACAUAAAGAAGUAGCGAGAAUGACAAGCCCCUGUUAUCCUACGCGGUUUUAGAGUUACUUUCUGUCUAAAACCGAUUAUACCACAAAUUUCAAAUUUUAGUAAUUUUUUGACAACGGAUUUGAUGUGGGGACCACAUGAUAAAAUGUUCUACCAAAUGAAUUUAUUUUUCUCAUUACUAAAUACUAACAUUGAAUUCUCUUCCAUUUUCUUAGUCUCCAAGCAUCACCA